GCAGGUGCUCAGGCGGGGCCGCGUCCCAUCGCCAACAGAAGCACUAGAAUAGGAGAUUUGGAAGAAUGACAUGGCCACCAGAGAUCCUCCCCAUUACUGGCAGCUUUCCUCUUUAGACAGUAUCCUCACUAUUCCUUGGACAUUUUUCCUAACAAGCUAUCAUUGAUUUUCAGUGGUUUCAUCUGGUGCAAAUUUUUCAGAGUUUCUAUGCUUUCUCUGAAGUUAGGAACAAGGAGCAUUUUUAAAUGAAGAAGCUUCAUUUUAUAGACUGUGGCUGUGUCUUCAGAAACUGUGGUUCAGUGCUGGUAUGUCUGACAUUUCCACUGAGCARCAGUAUCUUCAGGUUUGCAAGUCACCUGAGUGAGAAUAAACAGGAGGUUCAGGCUUUGAGAUAUUUGAACAUUUCUGUGCAAACAAAAAAAACAUUAAAUGUAGAAGAAAAAAAAGCAAGUGAUGUAAUACUCUUUCCUUUUUUUUUGGAAAAGUGGUCCAGGAAUGAGGUUAUAAAAAGAGCCAUUCUGCCCCUAGAGUUGCCAAUUUAAAAGUCCAGGCCAGAAGUGAAUAUUCAGCUUUUAUAUCACUUCUCAAGACUUUCUACCUUUCCACAGAACCCAGCCUAACAAAACCAAGCACAAUUUGUGAAGUCAACAUUUGUUCUUGUACAGAACUGUAAAAGUGAUGGCACAAUUUUCUCAGUCAGCACUUUGCACCUGUCAAAUCCACUUAGUGCAGAAUAUUAAUUAGCACUUCUGCAAAGAAAAUAGAUGUCCUUGAAACCACCUUUU